rnacentral:tRNA from 1 species
AAAGGGAGACCUAAUUCAGGUAAAAGACAAAAAAAAAGUAGUCGCUACCAAGAAUCAAUCCCAAAAGGUCGGAGCGAGGCGAAAUUGGCUUUCAAACUAGGUUCUGGGUUCACACAAGACCUGAAUCAGGAACAAGGGCUAUUAGCUCAGGUGGUUAGAGCGCACCCCUGAUAAGGGUGAGGUCCCUGGUUCGAGUCCAGGAUGGCCCACCUGCACAGGUGGCAAAAACAAGAGAAGCUCCGAAUCAGCACCUUAUCUUACUGACAUAGUAAGAGAGAAUGCUGGCUCUGAGUAAAGAGUCCAGAGGAACCUUGAAAACUGCAUAGAGCUAGGUGAAAAAGCCAAAAAAGAAGACCGCAAG